rnacentral:rRNA from 1 species
UACGUAGGUGGCAAGCGUUGUCCGGAAUUACUGGGUGUAAAGGGUGCGUAGGCGGUUUUUAAAGUCAGAUGUGAAAUGCCGCAGCUUAACUGCGGAGCUGCAUUUGAAACUUAAAGACUUGAGUGAAGUAGAGGUAAGCGGAAUUCCUAGUGUAGCGGUGAAAUGCGUAGAUAUUAGGAGGAACACCAGUGGCGAAGGCGGCUUACUGGGCUUUAACUGACGCUGAAGCACGAAAGCAUGGGUAGCAAACAGG